rnacentral:lncRNA from 1 species
GAAACUCAGGGGAGUGGAGAAUCCCCAACGCGGCGCCUCCCCAAUGCAGACACGGCCCUUGGAGCCUGAGACCCUGAGAGCCCCGCCCGGGACCUGGGACUUCGUCCUGAUCCCUCUUCUCCUACACCAAGCAUCUUUGUCACACUGUGUGCCUGAGUCCUGGACAAGGAUCUGUCUGUGGAAACCAGGGAGAGACCCCAAGGCUGCGCCCAGCCCCUUCCCCUUCACUUCUCCUCCUGGAAUCCCCGUCCCUGAACUGGACUCCCUGCCUCCCACCCUUUGCCUUACCUUACCUCACCUCAGGUAAUAUUAAACUACAUCCAGCAAAAUAAAGGAAACUUACCUCUCCCC